CAGUGGGGCAUUUUCAUCAGGACCUACUUGAGCUGGGAGGUCAGCGUCUCCCUCUCCGUAGGCUUCAAGACCAUGGACUUCCCCGCCGUCACCAUCUGCAAUGCUAGCCCCUUCAAGUAUUCCAAAAUCAAGCAUUUGCUGAAGGACCUUGACGAGCUGAUGGAAGCUGUCCUGGAGAGGAUCCUGGCUCCUGAGCUAAGCCAUGCCAGUGCCACCAGGAACCUGAACUUCUCCAUCUGGAACCACACACCCCUGGUCCUUAUUGAUGAACGGAACCCCCACCACCCCAUGGUCCUCGAUCUCUUUGGAGACAACCACAAUGGCUUAACAAGCAGCUCAGCAUCAGAAAAGAUCUGUAAUGCCCAGGGGUGCAAAAUGGCCAUGAGACUAGUAAGUAGUCCCUGGGCACAUAUCAAGCAAUGGGCCCCACUCAGUGAGGCUGAUGGGUAUUUCUUUUCCGUAGUAAUUUGAGUCUCGCUGGGGAAAGACAAGAUGAAAGCCAGAGCCUGUUUUGCUUGUUUGCAGAGAUUUUAAAAAAAUAGAAAUUGUUGGCAUGUUA
rnacentral:sRNA from 1 species